GUUGAAUCAUGGCCCGAACCUCUGAUUGACCACCUGAGGCAAGCAAUGAGUCAGCUGUGGGGGCACACGUGAAGGCAAUUAACCUGUGUGACCGGAAGGGAUAGAGCCUGGCUCCACCUCUCUUAGACCUCACUUAAGGGCUGACUGCUGCUCUGGAUGGGUCUCUUUCUGGGGAUUGCUCCUCUUGGAUUUCUCUUGUGAGCCCAUAACACCAGACACUAAUGCUUCACGUAACUACAGUCUUUGCCAUGCUGAUCGAAGACGACGACUCUAGAAGUUCAGAAGCUUUCUAAGGAGAACACAACCCAGACUGAUGUCGUUCAGACUAUUCUAUUGAAAGGUAUCAGCCCAUUCCAACUGAGUGUGUGUAAAAUGUUAACUGCUAAGGCAGUAUUUUCACUGUUGGGAACCAGAGACUGCAGAGAACAAUGUUCAUUCCGAUACACUAAGAGCAUAUCUUUAAAGAAAAAAAAAUCAAUGAAGGAAAAAAGGGAGGUGAAGGCAUAAUGGCUCCUAACUGUUUUUAUGUUUUUGUUUAUAUAGUUCUGUAUUUUCUUUCCAAGUAUAUUCACCAGUCCCACCUCACACUUCAGCUCAGAUUAGAGAACUGGAUUAAAGAUUUAGUUUAAAAUAGACAAUUUCUGUUUUCGAAUUGUUUCUGGCAAAAGUUCAUGUAUUUUAGAAAUAUAUUUGAUAUUUUAGUAAUUCUGUGGAAUAGAACUUAAAAUCAACCAUGAGAUAAUAAACUAAAUAGUAUAUAUUCAUUCUACUCUUUCAAAAACCAGGAUUAUUUCGGCAAGCUAUGCUAAAUUGUAUAGGAACACAUGCUCAGCAAACUGUCUUUUCUCUUUGAAAGGCGACAUUCAGAAAUAAGGUUCCUGACCCCAAAGUCAAACAUGUUUGAAAUGUGUUUUCUUUAAAGCUAUGUAAUUCAUACUCCCUUAGUUUAACUAUCUUUCUGUUAAAACAGCAAGAGUUGAUUAAGCCUUAAUGUUUCCCUCUAUUUAUUUUUCAGAGCACGUGUGAUCCCGUUUAUAUGCACUCACAAUGUUAGCAUUCCUCUUUAUAAAAUACAAGGCAGCUGGGCUUUAAAAUGUGUUAAAAUCUAACUGAGAAAUUAUUCAAUUACUUUGUGAAUCAAAUUUUGAAUCAAAUUUCUUUAGGACUAAAAAACUAAUUAAGGGUAAGUUUUUGUUUGGGGCAUGGAAGUUGAAGAAUUUAACACUCAACUAAUCAGACUGUUCUUUGGGUUUGUGUGUAACUACAAGGAAGUUAAUUAUUUUUGCUUGAAUUCCUAGAUUUCUAAAACAUAACUGUAUAUAUUACGGAUACACUUAAAUAAAGACAAACUCUGUCAUCCAUCCCUAUCUAUGUGUAUCUUAUGUUAGGAAUACUUGCAUUACAUCACACUUAACUCAAGCUCUCAUACUGUGAAAGUUACCAUAAAUUUACUAGACAGUAUAGUUUUGAUGUUUUAACACUUUCAUACUGGGAACUUAUAUAGCUUAUUAUAUUAAUAUAAUAUAUUAUUUAUAUAUUAUAUAUAAUUAAUAUAUUAUCUAAUACACUGCCUACAGAACUAUGCAAAAGUCUCAAGAUUCAAAUGUGAAUGUCUGCUUUUCAUCUAGAACUGAUGCAAGAAAAGAGAAAUAAAAGCAGGUUAGAGUAGUUCUGCUGCUGUCUGAGAUGUGAAGCUUCUCUAGCUCAGCUUUCUAAGGUUUUGGACUGUAUUUCUGUCUUUAAUCUAUUAUUGGCCAGUCUAUAGACACUAGAUAUAUAGCAAAUACAGUAUAAAGGUAAUAACCAUUAAAACCAUUAACAUUAUGCUUUUAUAUCUAUGUACUUAACAGUUUGGGAAAACAUUUUCUUGCAACUUUUUUCAUUAAAUAUAAAUGAAUAAAAGAAUGUCUACCACAGC
ensembl:lncRNA